UACAGAGGUCUCAAGCGUUGUUCGGAUUCAUUGGGCGUAAAGGGUGCGUAGGUGGCGCCGUAAGUCAGGUGUGAAAUUUCGGAGCUUAACUCCGAAACUGCAUUUGAUACUGCCGGGCUGGAGUACGGGAGGGGAGAGCGGAAUUCCUGGUGUAGCGGUGAAAUGACGCAGAUAUCAGGAGGAACACCGGUGGCGAAGGCGGGUCUCUGGGCCGAUAUUGACGCUGAGGAGCGAAAGCGUGGGGAGCGAACAGG
rnacentral:rRNA from 1 species